AUGGUACUAGAUGAUCUAGACAUCCUGAAUUCAAGAAUACCUACUAAGGUCUUUUGAUUCAUAUUGAACUUUUUCUUCUCCAUAUAGGCUCUGAUUAUUACAGGAGCUAGGACUACCAUGAGCAGCAAUGAGAUCUGGGGCUGCAGGAAGAAAAGCAACAGAUGGAUUUGAUGUAGGAAUAACUAAACUUGGCUUAAUGGACUGGGAGCCUGAAACUUGCCAGUGAGACUUCAGUUGCAGAAGGAAAGCUGCAUAUUGCAUAAACUCUAUGGUUGAC
rnacentral:lncRNA from 1 species